GGGAGAAACUGGGGGAGAUUCUUUUUCAAUGGUGGAGCUGUUCUACUAGAUUUCUAUUGCCAAACCCUUGUACUGCGUUAAUCCCCAAUUUCAUGUAAUGCAUUCAAAUGUAUAAGGUCAACUGUUAGCUCCUUUAUGAAACAUGUUGGGAGUAUUUAACCACAUAAAGCUGAUUUUACAGAAAAAAUUUUUAACAGCACACCAUUUUUAUAUUCCUGUCAAUAUUUUAAUUUGGUGUUAUCAGUCUCACACUCUCUUCCUCUCCACACUGAUGGCUAAUGUGGAUCUAAUUUCUUUUAAACCAUAUUUAAAUUGAGGGUUG
rnacentral:lncRNA from 1 species